AGUUAAUGAUCUUGAUUAAAGUU
rnacentral:tRNA from 2 species